GCAGUGGUGGUUUUGUGGUAGAAUUUCUGCCUUUCAUGUAGGAGAUCCGGGUUUGGUUCCCGGCCAAUGAA
rnacentral:tRNA from 1 species